rnacentral:rRNA from 1 species
UGGGCCCGAGUUUGAUCAUGGCUCAGAACGAACGCUGGCGGCAUGCCUAACACAUGCAAGUCGAACGCUUCUCUUCGGAGAGGAGUGGCGCACGGGUGAGUAACGCGUGGGAACCUGCCUUGGAGUGGGGGAUAACCGAUGGAAACGUCGGCUAAUACCGCAUACGUCCUGAGGGAGAAAGAUUUAUCGCUCUGAGAGGGGCCCGCGUCGGAUUAGCUAGUUGGUGGGGUAACGGCCUACCAAGGCGAUGAUCCGUAGCUGGUCUGAGAGGAUGAUCAGCCACACUGGGACUGAGACACGGCCCAGACUCCUACGGGAGGCAGCAGUGGGGAAUAUUGGACAAUGGGCGCAAGCCUGAUCCAGCAAUGCCGCGUGAGUGAUGACGGCCUUAGGGUUGUAAAGCUCUUUCGGCGGGGACGAUGAUGACGGUACCCGCAGAAGAAGCCCCGGCUAACUUCGUGCCAGCAGCCGCGGUUA